rnacentral:rRNA from 1 species
UUACCCAAUCCUGACAUAGGGAGGUAGUGACAAGAAAUAACAAAGCAAGUCUCUUAGAGGCGCUGCGUUGGAAUGAGUAGAAUUUAAAUCUCUGUACGACCAUCAAUUGGAGGGCAAGUCUGGUGCCAGCAGCCGCGGUAAUUCCAGCUCCAAUAGCGUAUAUAAAGUUGUUGCGGUUAAAAAGCUCGUAGUUGGAUUUCUGCCUGAGGCAGCCGGUCCGCACUUAGUGCGUGUAUCUGGUUUGGUUUGGGCAUCCUCUUGGGGAUCGUUGCUGUGCUUAGUUGCAUGGUGCGGAAUUCAAGACGUUUACUUUGAGGAAAUUAGAGUGGUUACGGCAAGCUAUCGCUUUGAAUACAUUAGCAUGGAAUAAUAAUAUAGGGCGUAAGUUCUAUCUUGUUGGUUUCUAGAACAUACGCAAUGAUUAAUAGGGACAAUUGGGGGCAUUCGUAUUAACGCGUCAGAGGUGGAAUUCUUAGAUUGCGUUACGACGAACUACUGCGAAAGCAUUUGCCAAGGAUGUUUUCAUUGAUCAAGAACGAAAGUAUGGGGAUCGAAGACGAUUAGAUACCGUCGUAGUCUAUACCAUAAACUAUGCCAAUUAGAGAUUGGAGGUCGUUUAUUUUAUGACUCCUCCAGCACCUUAUGAGAAAUCAAAAUUUUUGGGUUCCGGGGGGAGUAUGGUCGCAAGGCUGAAACUUAAAGGAAUUGACGGAAGGGCACCACCAGGAGU